GAGAGCAUCCUUUAAACCUGCCAAUCACUCAAUGCUCCCCUUGGAAUUUCUGGGUUGAUAGUGCCCAGCAGAGGUCCAGGGUGGGGAAAGGAAGGGUGAUUGACACCCCACCUGGGAAGGAAACUUCAGGGAGAAACCAAGGGAAACUGAGGCAAGCCCUGACAUCACACUGCAACAAGCAUAUAUACAUGGUACCCUUUCUUUGUUACCAGUAGCAUUUUCUCACCCAUUUACAUACACAACUAUUUAUUGGUGAUACAUUGUUCUGGACAACCUGUGUUUCAAAACUUCAAUAUUUGGUAUAAUUCUUCUGCUUCUUUGACUCUUUAUAACCUUCAGCUUCUUGUAGGUACAACCUUAAAAAAGGAAGGCCUUGUAAAACUAUGGCUGAGGCUUGGUACUUUGGCUAAGUAGAAAUGGACUAUGGGACAGUGACACAGCUGAAUUAGAGCAAAAUGUUGGUGAAAUAUGAGGAAAAGGGAGCUAAAAAUAAUUCCCAGCUUCUGGCAUGAAGAUUCAGACAUUGUAAAAUCCAUCACAUCUCCUGGAUGAAAGCACCUUAUGGAUCUGAGGGAGAAGAAUUUUUGGAGAAUAGUGUGGUAGAUGAAGAAGGUGUCUUGAUCUGUACAUUCUGUAAUCCUUUUAAUCCAUACUAGCACUGCAUAUCGAAUACAAGGUUUUAGGUUUCUUUCUUUAAAUGACUGGCAUUUCAGCACAGUAAUAUUUCUGUGUGCUAAGGAGAAUUUGCAUCUCUGCUCCUGUCAAUCAUCAUCUUAGGAGAUGACACAAGUCAUAAACAGGUGCAAGUACAGAGGAUUUUCAAAUGUAAUACAGAACACGCAAAUGUGUCGUUUAUGUACAAUUCUUUGAAGAUGUAAUGAUGACUGAAUGACAAAGAAAACUUUAUGCAAGAUCAAGUGUUACUUUUUCUCUGAUCCGCUCUGAAAUCCCUGAAAUACAGCACUUCUAAAACGAAUGGGUGAUUCUAUUCAACUUGCUAUGAUACUGUUGUGGUUUGACCAGGAAGUGAGUUUCUGGGAAAGUUGUGGUCAAACCAAUCAGUGGCCAGAUUUUAAAAUUAGCACCUGGUGUGGCCACUGGGGACCUGGAUAUGCCUCUGAGAACACACAGGGGUUAAAAGCAGAGGAUUCCUGGAAGUACUUUCUGUUUUGAGUCCGGCGGUGAGUCGAUGCAACCUCCUCCCCUGCCCAGGGGUGGAGGAGACGUGGGAUGUUUCAGGCAGCGCCCAACCCCGAGAGAGAGUGAUAGAGAGUCUGCAGUGGCUUGAAAUCUUUCCGGCACCACAGGUGAGGAGAAGGGGGUGGGGGGCAGGCAAGGUGCCCAGCCACCGGCAGACCACUGCUGAGGUUUUAACUCCUUUUGUGCUGAGACAAUGGAAGCUGUAAGAAACACUAAUCCUCCCCAGCUGAGAAUUGAGAGGGGACAGAGGAUGGGGCAAAUGAGAAGAAGGCUUGAGUAGGUGAAGAAAUGUCAGCAGAUGAGAAGUGCCCUAGAUGGAGGAGAUGAUUGGAGCGGCCUUCUGGCUGACUUUUCUCUUACAUGGCCACGGGACGGAAACUAUUUUUUCCUGUAAUGUAGAGACUGCACCUUGGAGGAGGCGGUUGGCCAGAAGCCAGGAGUGACAAAGCUGUUAUGAGAAGUAGAGGGAACAGAGACUGAUGAGGAGGGUGUGGUGGAGCCUUCUGCCUUCAGCGGAUAAGGAUCUCAGUUCCAGAGACCCCCAGGCCCCAGGCGAGUGAAUAUGGGGGUGUCCAAAAUGGUGAGAGGCUGCCACUUCUUGGAACUGAGCAAUGCAUUCUUAAAAGGACCUAAGAAGCAGUUGGGAUCCAUGGACAAUGGUGAGAACACUGGAAGGAAGAUGGUCACCAUGGCAAAUUCUCUCCAGGUGGCUGCCACGUGUGACAUGGAAGCAUAGGAGGUUCCAACUGUGUUUCCUGGGGAGUCCCAUGGUGCAAGAGGGAGACUCCUCUCUCCUGAUGAACUGGGAAGAGGUUGUGUGAAGGAUGGUAUUGGACUGAGAAUUGAGUGUUAGAGGGGUGGGGGGAGGAGGAGUGUUUUGGAGGUUUUCUAUUGUGGAUUGUUGUGUGUGGUCUUUUUUUCUUUUUUUUCCCCUUUUGUCUUUAUGUUUAGAUCUAUGAAGUGUUGGUUUUUUUUCCCUCCAUUCCAAAGUUGGAGUCUGCUUUGUUCUGUUUCUGGGUCACAUCUCACAGUAACCAUUUUGGAAAUAUACCUUUCAUGGGGGCACCGGCACUGUGUCAGGGUCAAUCCAUGACAGGUACAUAUUUAGUUGUCAUGCUGAGCUUUCUUAACUGAAACAAUUUUAUCUCGUAUUCAUCAUUUGGAAGUGAACUGCUGCUAUGUAGCCAUGAUAUUUUAGUGAAAAAGCCUCUGCUGGGAUUUUUCCUGUCCUGAGGAGCUGAGAGCCUCAGGAAAGAAAUGUAAACAAUAACUAUCUGCUGCUGUGGAAUGCCACAGGUGCAUCUUCCAUUGGUCCAUGUGGAUUGUUUUCAAUUAGUGACCAAUCACAGCCACCUGUGCCAAGGCUGUGAGCAGUCACAGGAUUUUUGUUAUUGAUUCCUAUUCUAUUCUUGUCUUUGUAGCCUUCUGAUCUUCUUCUCUCUGUUCUUUUUAGUAUAGUUGUAAUGUAGUACUUUAGUAUAAUAUAUAACAUAAUAAAUCAGCCUUCUGAUGAAAAUGGAGUCAAGCCUCGUGUCCUCACACAAGGGGUUCUUGCCAAAGCAAGACUGCUAUCAGACUUUCUCAGUUGGAAACUAAACAGUAGUGCAAACUCAAUUACACCUUCAACUUUUUUCUUCGAAUAUAGACCCAUGGGAAAAGGAGAGAUGGAAAAAUAGCUCAUUUUUAAAAUGGCAACUGGAUCUCUAAACUUCUAUUUUAUGCCAUACUCUUGUUGCACUGAAUCACUCAUCUAAUGAACAAAGGCAACUGUGAAAGCACUAGUAUCACUGUUGAAUCAGUCUCAGGAAUAAACUGGGAACCUCUGUAGGGGAGUAAAUCUGACUCUCUUAAGACAGGACCCUGCAUUGCCAACGGCACACAGCUGCAGAGGCCACACUCCCCAUGGUCCUGCUGGGUGUCUGUCAGGGUAUCCAAGUUGACAUCUGCCCACUGUGGGAUAUGGGCUCUUGCUCUGUUGAGCAGCUUCACCACCCCUUUGAUAGUAUCCUGGGUGAAAAGAUGAUGCUCACAUCACGAGCUGCCAGUGCUCCUUACCCACAGGGUGGAAAAGCUGGGUACAUUCUGACAGCAGCUUGCAGGGUGGUGCUGUCAAGGCUUACAGGACCUGCAGAGGAAUAGGCUCAUUCCUGUGCUUGUCAGUGGCAGGCCUGGGUGUGCUGCUGCCACAAGGCUUUGUGCUCGUCCCUGUGGGUGGAGACAUGUGUCAAUAACAGACCCUGGUGCAGGUGAUGGCUGGCUGUAGUCCAUUCCACACCGAUCAUCACACUUGGACGUCGGUGGGAAUUUUUCAUCAACACCAUGAGAUCAUGUUAUAACGUGUUGCAUGACAGCAGUUUGGGCCAACAUUUUAUAGAUUUGGCCGAGGUGGAUGGGCCAUCUUCACUUACCCCAUAGGAGGUCAAUUAUUCCCGAGAAAUAUGCAGGUGCUCUAGUAGUGCACCUGCAUUAGUGAUUUGAUUGCCAAAGAACUGCUUUCUGUUGUUAAUUUGCCUUGCAUCUUUUCCUGGAGUCUUCUGUUAUGCCUUUGACCGGAUCACUUUGCCACUUUAUGUGGUUUCACUCCUGCUGGAGGAGGAAAAAGGAAAGCAAGGAAAACCUGGAAACCAAGAUUGACAUUUUGCUUCAUGGCACAUUUGUAGCUGCCCACAUUCAGGCUGAACAGAGAGCCCUCCAGCAGUAUGCUGGAGCUGUGCUGCUGUGUGCUGCAGUGUGCUGCUGAGGCCAGUGGGGUAUCUGCCCAGGGACAGUAAUUUAUGCACCACUAGGGUGCUAAGACCAGCAAUUUAGCACCAUACACCAAUAUAUGCUGGGUGACACCCAGCUUGAAAUCAGCUUGGUAGUAUCAGGGUCCUCAUGAACCCCAACUAAUGCCAGAGCCAAUUGUGCUCUUACAGCAAAAAAGGCUAAUGGUAUCCUGGGAUAAUGGUAUCCCGGGCAAAUGGCAUCCUUCUGUCCCCUCAGCAGGCUCAGGAACCCAGUCCUUCCUCUUCUUCAGCCCUGGUGAGGCCACACAUGGAGUGUGUUCUGGAUCCCCAGUACAAGAGAGGCAUGGGCAUGGUGGAGAGAGUCCAGUGAAGAGUCACAAAGGUGAUGAAGGGAUUGGAGCAUCUUUCCAAUGAGCAAAGGCUGAAAGAGCUGGGACCAUUCACCUUGGAGAAGUGAAAGUUUGGUGCUGGUGGGAUGGAUCUUACCAGUAUGUAUAAAACAGAAAUAAAAAGAGGGAACCAUGCUCUCUUCAGCGAUUCCCAGUGACAGGACAAGAGAUGAGCUGCACAAACCGAAAAAGAAAUGAUUCAUUGCAUCCAAAGCAUAGUCCCAUACAAGCUACUAGAAAAUUAUCUUGGCCAACACAGGCAUACCCUUGGAGUAUGUGGAGUUUCCCUUUUUUGUGAUAUUUAAAAGUCAUCUGGACAUAUUCCUGGGCCACCAGGUCCAGGUGGUCCUUCUUGAGCAAAGGGGUUGCACCAGAUGGCCUCCAGAGGUCCCUUUCAAGCUCAGCCAUUCUGUGAUUUCACUAUUAGCCAAGACACACUGUGAAGGUAUAUCCUCUUCUCAUUGCACCACACUGCUUUACAAUGUAGCUACACCCUUAGAAAACUUGAGCCUCAUUGUUUUGCUAGAGUCUGCUCAAUGUUAAUACAAGUGUUCCUUCUGAUUGUGCACUAACUACAGCGAACAGUAAUUAUUGACUGAAUACAGGAGGUGGAUAAAUGCAAUAAACUUGUAUAGACUGUAUGACAGGAAAAUGCUGUCACAAUUUCUGGCAGAAUAUGUUUAAUGCCAUUGGAGAAUAAGAAUCUAAGUCUCUGAGUCACCAUAAUAACAUGUGUGUCUCAUUUUUAUGGGUUGGAUUAUCUGUCUACAAGUAAAUCCAGUUGUGAGGGAUUAAUAUAAUAUUAAAUAGAGGUAAAUUUUUAGCUCUUCUGCAGAAAUGAGAAGUCUGGUCUCCCUACUAAGGAGAAUUUUAUGAAUAAAGAUUUAAGAAAUGUGGGUAUUUCAGGUCCAUGGUUCAUAAUAUAGGUUAGAAUAUUGUAAAGCCCAAGAGAGAACUUUUGGAACACUGUCUUCCGUGUUGCCUGCAUAGUUGUCCAUUUACAGAAACUUUGUGAAAGUUUCUGAAAAAGAAAAAUAUUGAAGAAAAAUAGUACAAAUAAUCCUAACUAAGGAAAAAAGUUUAAUAUAACCUCAGCUUAAAUGUUUGCUGUACAAGGACAAAGGUAAUACCAUUAUGCAACUUUUAUGAGAUGCUAGUCCCAUUCCCUGGUUGGACAGACUAUUUUGCCUCUGGCAUAGCUUACUGUGUUAUGACCUCAUAAAACAUGACAACAUUGCAUAUUCUUAUGCAAUACCUAGAGCUCUGCCAUGCAUAACAAUUGUCUAUAGAUGCCACUUUCAAGGCCUGAAUAUUAUGCUAAAUUGAAUAGAUUUCAGGAAAUUACAAUGUUCCAAGUGUCUGGGUUGAGGCUGUAAAAUGUGAAAUUUACUUUUUAAAAGCUCUAAAAUUGUUCCUUUUUAGGAAUGUUGAUAUUAUGAGAGAGAAGAAAGUGGUGGGGAGGGCUCUGACAACAGCUUUUUUUCCCCUCUUCAAUCACGCUGCUGCUCUGGGUACAGAGGAAUUUCAAAUGAAUGUAUAUAUCCAUAAAUUUUCUCUCAUUUUCUGCAUUGGCAUUUUGCAUGAAAUGGGUGUUCUACAUCUUUGAGACUGCUUCCACAAGAACUUAAACUGAUGAUCAGCACAUCUGACCAGAGACUGUGCAGGUAAAAAAUCAGCCUGUCAUCGUAUUUCUGUACAAAAUCAUCAAACACUGGCAAAGACAGUGAAGAUACUUUUCUGAUAAUUGCACCAGAUGAGCCGAAUUUGAGGAUCUUGGAAGACUUUGCAGCCUGACAGAGAUUUGUAACAGAGCAUAUAUAUAUUUUCUUGUACCUUGCCGAUUUGAAUCUUGGUGAAAACCUAUGGGAGUAAUUACUCUAUUCAUACAUUUUGUGGCUUGGGCCAGUACUUGUUUUUUGAGUAGAAAAAUUGUCAAUUUUUUUAAGUUGCAGAGUUAAGUUAAACCAAUUGCUGUUGUAAAUAACUUCAUGUUGUAAUCACCUGUUGUCAAUAGUUUUUCUUCAGUUACCUGUUAAUAGUUCGAAAUCAGCUCAAGUGUCCCCCUGCUGCUUCCCAGAUGACGACACCUGAAGGCUGCAGGUAGUGGGGGGGGGGAAGUGACAUCAGAGCUGGUAUGCAAAUGAGGAAGCCCCUCACCAAAUCUUGCCAAAAAAGCCCUAAAAACAACGAGCCAUCAUGAAAUUAAGCGAUCUAAGUGAUGUCCAAACGUGAGGAACUUAAUCCCGUGUCUGCAAAGAUCCUUUUUACCUCUCACCAUAACUUAAGGAGGUUGACUAGAAAGAGGAUCUCGAAUGUCAGACUGAAAAAGCAGAAUCUCCUAAUCUCCCGUGAGGACGGAAGCCCCAGCUCUGCCUACAGACCAGCGGACACAGCUGCAUCAUCCUCCUCCAUGCUACUCCUGGGAGCAGCGGCAGUGUGGAUGUGACCCGUUGGUUUCUCCCCACCUGAGCUGAUUUUGUAAUAAAGGCAUUAAAAAGGAGAAAGAUCUCCUGCCCUAUUCAUUUCACUUGGGCCAGUAUUCUAUGUACAGAGUAUUGAAAUGACUCUUUAAGAUUUAUGUUUUGAUUUUUUUUACACAUCAGAAAAGAAAAAAUCUUAAUGUUUAAUUUAUGUAUGUCUUUCAUUUACAGCCUAUAUAACUGUCCCAUAAACCAAGCAGCUGUGAACAACUAAGGAAUUUAUUGUUUAAGUGAAUUUAUAGUAGUGUAGGAUUACCAUGCUUAUCUCAUACAUAUUUUGCCUGCUUAAAAGCUAUUCUGAAUUGUGAAACAGUAAGCAGCUUUCAAUUCUUUUCUUCCCAUUGAGGGUGGACCACAUCAGUAAUGAUAUCUGUUAUGUUAAUUUGUGUAACGAUUCCUUCAAUCUUGCCUGAUCCAGCUUUCAAGACGGAUUCUACUUCUCCCAUAAAAUAAUAGGAAUGGAAGGGUUUUUUUUAUGUUUCUCCCUUCCAAAUGAAUUUUUAAUUUUUUUCAGUGUCUUCCAUAAGUACUGAAGUUGAACUUAAUGGGCAGGAGUCUGUUAAUCAGUGUUGCUCUGCUGGCUUUCAAACAGAGGUCAAGACAUUGUGAGUAUAAUACUCAUUAUGAAGAGUGCUGAAUUUUUAAUGAAUGUUGGACCUUUAGUGGUAAUCUCCUUCAAUGGCCACAGCUGUCAAUGGCUAGAUUUGAUUAUGAUUCCUCUAUAAGGCAACUUUUUAUUUUUAAAGAAUGUGAAACAAUAAAAACUUAUAUCAAAGGGGUUUUGUUUUGCAUUAAAAAGCGUCCGCCUAGGGAAGACCCCACCCUUUAUUUAUUUAUGGUCAUUUACACCGAGGGGGAACCCUGGAGGAACCUUGACAAGAUCUCCUCUCAGACUGAGAAAUCCUGUGUAGAAGUGUAACAUUUUUUGAAAACUUAUGGGAAAUAGCACAUGUUAAAUAUAAGAUCCUGAGAUACAAUUAAUCACCAUGGUACAGGAAGAUAUAUUUGUUUUUUAACUAUGCUAUGAGUUAAGCUGCUCUUGUAAUGCAGAUUAAAAGAAUCAAGAAUAAAGCCUGCAGAGGAAAAAAUUGUUUACAAAGCUGUCAACUGAACCCUGGGUUUCUUUGGUAGGACAGGUAUAUAAACAAAUAUGUAACUCUUUUGUAUAAGGAGUCAUCAGGAUCUGAGAUUUAUGGGUUAUAGUAAUUUUGGAUAAGGUGUAUACUUAGUGACGGAAUAUCUUCUCACUGGUCAAGUUGUAUUAGAGAGAAUGACUGUGCUAACUGGAGAAAACAACCUCAUUUGUAGUUGAGAUCUCUUGACAGUCAGCUGUGAAUUGACAGUGACAUCAAGUCCAAGUUCUUGUUAUCGCCUACUAAAGUGUUCCCUUUAAGCAUACAGCAGGCCACAUUUCUUUGUUAACUUCUGUUCUCAGACAUAAACUCACUCAGAAAAGGUUACCAAGAAAUAAAAUAGUGCUUGGAGUGUUUAUACAUGCUAAUGUGGGUUUGAGCUGGGGAUAUAUGUGGCAAGAUCAAUCCUGCAAUUCUUCUGUAUACUGAACUUCAAUAAAUGGCAUGCUGUGUGCUUUGGGGAGUAGAGGGCAAUAAUUUCAAGAUAAAUCACUUCUGAAUAACAGGGAAAUGAAUGUGUGCAAUGAUGUUUUGUGUUGGUUCUGGCUAAUUCUGGGGUCUUCUGUGGAUGAAGGUCAUUAAAUCUAUCAAAUCAAAGCAAAAGAAUGGUACACUGAUGUCUUAGUCUGGUUCACAUCAGAAUAACUAUACAAUAACUAUACUCUGGUUACACAGUAAAUUCAAUAUACAAAAUUAGUCUAAUUCUGGCUUGUCUUAUCCUUGGACAACCACACAGUCAACUUCGAAAUUCCAGACCUGAGUUCUCACGUGAAAAGAUUUUUACACUAGGAAUUUUAUCUGAGAUGACUCUGUUAAAAUAUGGAUACCUUGUGCUUUUUAAAGCAUUCUCACAUCUACUUCUCUCAUGAGUAGUUCUAAUGCAGUUGCAUAGCUCUAAUCUUACAUUUUAGUCCAGAAAAGGUGAAAUGGUACAGGAUGUCUGCAAAAGUUAGAAUUUUCCCCACUCCCUGAAGACACCAAAAUCUACUCUGGAGUUGGGCAGCCUGGAGAGGACAGCAGAAGAGGAUAAGCUAAGGCACGCACCAUGUCUGGCACCAUGUUCCCACAAUUUUGAACUAUCAGUGACAGGGAAGCAUUCCUUUGGCUGUAGUCUCAGAUAUCUUUGUUUGAUUUUUUUUUUCCUUUCAGUAACGGGGACCACAGGAAUAAAAAUCUCUGUUCAGUACAACUUAGAACUCUUUAUCCUACUUUUUAUUUGGUUAUGUGCAUUGGAAACAAAAGUGUUAAAACUUUUUUCAAACUGUCUUUGAAAACAAUUUUCCAAUGAUCAGUGUAGAAGAGCACACAGCUACACUAUUUUUUUCUGAAAAAGAUUGGUUCAAUUUUUCAUGACUCAUUUUUCUGAUUAAUUUAACACUCUUCAAAUCUCUACUUUAUUGCCCAUUCUUUAUAAAAGCAAAAUAAUGAUUCUUAGCUAAUUUGAUGAUCACACAAGAGUUUAUCUUUGAGGCAUUUUUCCCUCUUUAGAAAUUACAACCAAUUUUUUCUUUUUUUGUGAAAUGGUUAGCAUUAAUAUACCUUAACAGCAGGUACAAUGAGAAAAUAGCUGAAAUACUUGACUCUUGCUUUUCAUGUGUAAAUUCCCAGUGUGGCUUCUGGUUCUUGGCAAACAUAAAAGAUUUAUAGGAAAUAUCCUUCUCAUGACUGAACAAUGUGUUCCUGAGUUUUGAAGAGGCAUAAAGAUUACUUUUUUUUUCUAUGUGUGACUUCUAAACUGAUAAUCCAAGCCUGAUUAUACAGAGUUGUCUCCGCAUACUGAUUUAUUAAAAUGAGCACUAAAUUAAGUUUCUUUGCCUGACAGAUUGCUCUUUCUGGUUUACUAAGAAAUGUGACACUUUCGUCAGUAUUAUAGUAAGCAUAAUAAACUUUCCCAUGCAAAAUAUAAACAGUAUAACUUUAGAUGGAAAAAGCAGACAGCUUAUGAAGACAAAAUGAGGAAAUAUGCACUGUAGUUGCAUAAUAUUUUCUUGACUAGUAGAUCCAUCCCAAGUUCUAGCAGUAUUCAGACCUGUGAGAAAGGAAAUUCUAGGAUUUAGAGUUUUACGAAGGGCAUGCUGUACAUCUAUAAACAUGUAUUUAUAGACCUGUAGUGUAGUUUCCAGCCUAAAGAUGUCUCAGAAUUGUUGUGCUGAUACAGAACACUUGGGAAAACUUCACCUGUGUUCAUCCUGGGCCUUGAAUGGCAAGUCCUGUGGAGACAUGCCACCUCAGAAUGAAGCGAGCAGGACAAGGGACUCAUUUCAAAAAUGACCUCAUAGACAGCUGGGCCUGAGAGCACAGUAUUGAGUGGGUGUAUCAUAUUCUGCACCAGCCUCUGGGACAACUGAACAUUACAGUGCACAGUGAAAAACCAGACUGAAAGCAAUGAGUGGUGGGACCUUCAAACAUUGGGAUAUAGUGAAGGCCACUGGGUUAGUUAACACUAGAACUCUAUCAAUUGAGCUGGCCCUGCCCAAUCAAAUCCUCCAUGUACUGUGCAGGGGGAUAAAGUCCCCAUGAGGAAACUCUCAGCAGCCCCUCCCCCACAAAAAAAAUCACUUUGUUGGUGGGUCCAAUGCAAAACCAGCACAGGUAGUAAAAAAGCACCACACCUAUGUCUAUUAAUCAGCUAGGAUAGACGAACUUGCUUGGAUUACUUACAGUGAAUUGAUCUGAUGGAAACAAAACAGCCAGAACUGAAAUGGAAGAACUUUUAAACUAUCUUCUACCAAGAAGAUUUUCUUGGAUGAUCUACAAAUGUAAAACCUUUCCUGCUCACCAGCCUUGCACAGACCUCCCAAAAAAACUAAUCUAUUUUAUCCACCCCAGAGAUGGAAGAUGGUUCCAGGAGGACCAAGCUGAGCACUUGCUCAAGUCUCAGUAUACUAAAUUCAGCAUCUUUUGCAUGGGAUCAUUGAAAUAUGAAAGAGACUAUACUGGAACUAGGACUUCAGAAUUUCUAUUUGAUAAAAAUCAAAAUAGAACAAUAUAUAUUUUGAACAGUUUUUAAUCUCUAGUGGUGUUUUGCCAUCUUAAUUCUUAACGAUUCUAUUGAUGUCAGUAAUUUUAUGUUUUCAGAAUUAAGUUUGUUAUUAGGAUAUUUGUUUGCAUCUAUUUAUUGUUUAAUUACAGUUUUAUUAUCUUUCAUUGAGUGUUUUGUCUCU